GACGAACGCUGGCGGCGUGCCUAAUACAUGCAAGUAGGACGCAGUUGCGAACGGGUGAGUAACGCGUAGGUAACUGCCUAUGAGAGGGGGAUAACUAUUGGAAACGAUAGCUAAUACCGCAUACUAGUAGAUGGACCUGCGUUGUAGUAGGUAGUAGGUAGGGUAAUGGCCUACCUAGGUGACGUUACAUAGCCGACCGGGGAGGGUGAACCGGCAAACUGGGAAGGGGACAACGGCCAAGCUCCUAAGGGGAGCAACAAGAGGGGAAUUUCGGAAAUGGGGCGAAAGCUGGCUGAGCAAAGCCGGGUGGGUGAAGAAGGUCUUCGGGUCGUAAAAGUCUGUUGUGAAGGGAGCGGUACUUAACCAGAAAGGGACGGCUAACUACGUGCCAGCAGCCGCGGUAAUUC
rnacentral:rRNA from 1 species